UUCUUCCACGGCGCUCGAAGCGCGUCGUGGUAUUUCGCGUAUNGUAAUUUCAACACGAGCGGGGUCAAAUCCUUUGCAGACGACUUAGCUGUGCGAAACGGUCCUGUAAGCAGUAGAGUAGCCUUGUUGUUACGAUCUGCUGAGGGUAAGCCGUCCUUCGCCUCGAUUUCCCCAAUGGGUUCUCCGGAUUUCUGGAGACUUGUAGGGGUUGUGGGAUUUUUGAUGUGUCGUCUCCGGACGGGCGGUGCAGGGUAGUCGAGUUAGACUUGGUGGAAUUCCGUCGAUAGGAGUUCCGUCGAGUCUGGUCGGCUGUGUGUUGGACGGUGUAGGGUAGGCUGCUUGGACAUGGUCGGUUCGAGGAUCGAUUCGAGGGCCGGCCUGUCGAUGAUGUGUGAUGUAUGCGGUCUAGGGUAGGUUGGUUUGUCUUGGUUCGAUUUGAUGUCGGCUCCCGUGCAGGCCAGAGUGAGGGGGGUCCAGGGUAGGUGCAGGGUAGGCAGCUUAGAUUUGGUCGAUCUGGAGGUCGAUUCUCCGGCUGGCGGAUCUGACACUGUCGAAACGAGAUGCGAGGGGUGUAGGGUAGGCUAGUUUCGUACUUGCCAGGUUGCGAUUUGGACGAGAUAUGUGGUUUAGGGUAGGCUCUAGGGUAAGUAGAAUUCGAGUUUCGUCGCCGAUAGUUUUCUGUGGGUGUAUGGUAGGUACAGGGUAGGCAAAUCUCUCUCCGGCCAGUACUUGUCUCGUGGUCGUGAGUCGAUUUUUUUGUUUUGCCAUACUAUUGAAUUUUGCGGAAAUUCAAAAGUGGCUCGGGAGUCCCGCCUGGCGUGCGUCCGACUCGAACAUCG
rnacentral:rRNA from 1 species